rnacentral:sRNA from 2 species
CAUUAAAGAGUUAGGGUCUCUCCAGGCCCGACCUCCCAACCCUUUGUCUACCUUGCCGCUUGUUGCUUCGGCGGACCCGUCUCACGACCGCCUGGGGGACUGCCGAAAGGCGUCUCUUGGCCCGCGUCCGCCGAUAGCCACCUCCAAACUCUGGAUGAAUCGUGUUUUUCUCUGAGUUUUAUGAUAAAUAAAAGCAAAAACUUUCAACAACGGAUCUCUUGGUUCUGGCAUCGAUGAAGAACGCAGCGAAAUGCGAUAAGUAAUGCGAAUUGCAGAAUUCCAGUGAGUCAUCGAAUCUUUGAACGCACAUUGCGCCCUUUGGCAUUCCAAAGGGCAUGCCUGUUCGAGCGUCAUGAUCACCCCUCAAGCCCCCGUGCUUGAUGUUGGACGGUGUAUGGUCGAGCCUUCUCGACCCCUCCUAAAGACAAUGACGGCGGCCUGCGGAUCCCCCGGUACACUGAGCUUUUCGUUGAGAGCAUGUAUCGGACAAGGGCGCCCAGGCUCCGGUCUUCUUCCUUCCACUAGGAAACAUUUCAAGGUUGACCUCGGAUCAGGUAGGGAUACGCGCUGAACUUAAGCAUAUCAAUAAGCGCAGGAAAAGAAACCAACAGGGAUUGCCUCAGUAACGGCGAGUGAAGCGGCAACAGCUCAAAUUUGAAAUCUGGCCCCCCGGGGUCCGAGUUGUAAUUUGUAGAGGAUGUUUUGGGUACCGCCCCGGUUUAAAUUUCUUGGAACAGAAUGUCAGAGAGGGUGAGAAUCCCGUCUUGGACCGGUGGUAGGGCCUGUGUAAAACUCCUUCGACGAGUCGAGUUGUUUGGGAAUGCAGCUCAAAAUGGGUGGUAAAUUUCAUCUAAAGCUAAAUAUUGGCCAGAGACCGAUAGCGCACAAGUAGAGUGAUCGAAAGAUGAAAAGAACUUUGAAAAGAGAGUUAAACAGUAUGUGAAAUUGUUGAAAGGGAAGCGCUUGCAACCAGACUUGAGCGCGACGGUUCCCCCAGCCUUUUGGCUGGGUUACUCCGUCGUGUCCAGGCCAACAUCGGUUCUGAGGGUCGGUCAAAGGCUCUGGGAAUGUAUCUACCCACGGGUAGACUUAUAGACCAGGGUGUCAUGCGGCCUCUCGGGACCGAGGAACGCGCUUCGGCUCGGAUGUUGGCGUAAUGGUUGUCAGCGACCCGUCUUGAAACACGGACCAAGGAGUCUAACAUCUAUGCGAGUGUUUGGGUGUCAAACCCGGAACGCGAAAUGAAAGUGAACGGAGGUAGGAAGCUUCGGCUGCACUAUCGACCGAUCCUGAAGUUUACGGAAGGAUUUGAGUAAGAGCAUAGCUGUUGGGACCCGAAAGAUGGUGAACUAUGCCUGAAUAGGGUGAAGCCAGAGGAAACUCUGGUGGAGGCUCGCAGCGGUUCUGACGUGCAAAUCGAUCGUCAAAUUUGGGUAUAGGGGCGAAAGACUAAUCGAACCAUUAGAAGACAAACUACGUUAAGAAAUCAGUCAAUUUUAAUAAUGAUCCGUCAAUUUUGGAUUAUUCUUACCGUAGUAGUUACCGGUGGUUAAGUGUAACCCUGAAAGUGGUUGCAAGUGCCUAGUUCUGGCGCGACACUGUCAAAUUGCGGGGACUCCCUAAAGCUUCGACGACCGCCCAGUCUAUGAAAAUAGGCUGCAGCGCACCAGGUUAACGACCUUGGGUAUGGUAAAACUGUCGAAGAUGUAACAAUGGGUAAUCUGCAGCCAAGUCCUAAGGGCCUUUAAGGUCUAUGGAUGCAGUUCACAGACUAAAUGGCAGUGGGCUCAUAUGGGCUUAAGAUAUAGUCGGUCCCCCAGGGAAACCUGGGCGCAUACGCUAAAUCUAGGGUAUAGACUCUACGUAGGUAGUUACCUUAGACCUGAACGGUGCGGGCGCC